ACAACCUCGGGGCUGAGUGUCUGCCACCUAAAUCAUCUCAUUUAACCUCCAGCAACUCCAGAAGGGAUCUGCAAUAACCAUGUACCAUAUUCGUUGUCUGCAAGAAGAUGUCUCAGAUACCUUACAUACCUCAGAAGAAGCUGUUGGAAAGAAUAAAGAUUUUUCUCUUCUGCCUAGUGUCAUUUGAAGGAAAAUCAUCUUCAUGCAACUUCCAAGAACGAUGAAAUAAAGGUAACAUUGCCUGGCUUCACAAGUCUGACAUUAACAUGAUGCUAUAGUGGAUGGAUCCCCAAAACCAAGCAAAACAAGCCAAAUGAAUGACCCUGCCACAGUUCAUCUCUACUACUAAAGAAAACCAAACCUAAUGAGCUUUCAGCAGGACUCUCCAAACUGAGUUACAGCAUACACUUCCAUUCUGCUUCAUAAGCAUUAUCUUGGUACACAAUUUUUCUGUUUUCUGGUUAAUAUAGUUCCCAGAUUACAUGCAACAAAAUCACAUCAGUUUUAUUAAAUUACAACAUAAAA